CAGGAUUAGAUACCCCUGGUANUNCACGCCGUAAACGAUGUCGACUUGGAGGUUGUUCCCUUGAGGAGUGGCUUCCGGAGCUAACGCGUUAAGUCGACCGCCUGGGGAGUACGGCCGCAAGGUUAAAACUCAAAUGAAUUGACGGGGGCCCGCACAAGCGGUGGAGCAUGUGGUUUAAUUCGAUGCAACGCGAAGAACCUUACCUACUCUUGACAUCCAGAGAANUUGGCAGAGAUGCUUUGGUGCCUUCGGGAACUCUGAGACAGGUGCUGCAUGGCUGUCGUCAGCUCGUGUUGUGAAAUGUUGGGUUAAGUCCCGCAACGAGCGCAACCCUUAUCCUUUGUUGCCAGCGAUUCGGUCGGGAACUCAAAGGAGACUGCCGGUGAUAAACCGGAGGAAGGUGGGGAUGACGUCAAGUCAUCAUGGCCCUUACGAGUAGGGCUACACACGUGCUACAAUGGCGCAUACAAAGAGAAGCGACCUCGCGAGAGCAAGCGGACCUCAUAAAGUGCGUCGUAGUCCGGAUCGGAGUCUGCAACUCGACUCCGUGAAGUCGGAAUCGCUAGUAAUCGUGGAUCAGAAUGCCACGGUGAAUACGUUCCCGGGCCUUGUACACACCGCCCGUCACACCAUGGGAGUGGGUUGCAAAAGAAGUAGGUAGCUUAACCUUCGGGAGGGCGCUUACCACUUUGUGAUUCAUGACUGGGGUGAAGUCGUAAC
rnacentral:rRNA from 1 species